UGGCGGGUAGCCCAGUUGGUUAGAGCGCCUGACUGUUAAUCAGGAUGUCGCGGGUUCAAGUCCCGCCCUGCCAGCCA
rnacentral:tRNA from 1 species